UCGAUAAUUCUUUCAAGGUUAGGCAGAUAACCCAUUAAACAUUCCCCCUGGGGAGUACCGGCCCAAAAUUUUAACUCCAAGGAAUUUACAGGGUCUCGUGCGAGUUUUGUCCGAAAUUAUUGGGUUUAAAGAGCUCCUAAGCGGUUUGUCGCGUCUGCUGUGAAAACCCGAGGCUCAACCUCGGGCUUGCAGUGGGUACGGGCAGGCUAGAGUGCGGUAGGGGAGAUUGGAAUUCCUGGUGUAGCGGUGGAAUGCGCAGAUAUCAGGAGGAACACCAAUGGCGAAGGCAGAUCUCUGGGCCGUAACUGACGCUGAGGAGCGAAAGCAUGGGGAGCGAACAGGAUUAGAUACCCUGGUAGUCCAUGCCGUAAACGUUGGGAACUAGAUGUAGGGCCUGUUCCACGGGUUCUGUGUCGUAGCUAACGCAUUAAGUUCCCCGCCUGGGGGAGUACGGCCGCAAGGCUAAAACUCAAA
rnacentral:rRNA from 1 species